rnacentral:tmRNA from 1 species
GGGGCCUUAAUGGUUUCGACAGGUUGGCGAACGCUGCCCCGUGAUUCAGGUCGAGAGUGAGUCUUCUCUCGUUAAUACUGGACUCAAAAAAAAGUAACUGCGAAAAACAACAUCGUAGCAUUCGCUCGUCAGGCAGCUGUCGUUGCCUAAAAACCUCUCAUAGGUUUCUGAGCGUCUGUAGUCUGACUCCGUUAAGGGCUACAGAACAACCCCAACGGAUGCUAUAGCAAGUUGUCUCUGGUAGACUUGCUAGCUAAGACCUCAUCAGAGAAUCCUGUCAUCCGGGAUAAUGGAUGGUUCCCGCCUUGAGGGUUAGAUAGGCUAAACCUGUGAAUGAGCGAUAGGUUAAUACCCAAUUUGGACACGGGUUCGAUUCCCGUAGGCUCCACUU